CGUGUUUAAAUUUUGCUCUAUUGAUCUCAUGAAAACUCGCUCGAUGUUACAUCUAAGAGAUGAAAUGGUAUAUUCAGCAUAUUUUCCUGUACUGGAAGUUAAUAAAACAUCUCCACGGCGUUUUAAACAACAACAACGUGCUUCGAACUCUGGAGGUGUAUACUUCGAAUGCAGAAGCCAAGAAGGUACGAAUAUUUUAACCGCUUCAGUUCUGUUUUUAUGUGGCUAGAUCUUAAAAAUAAUUCCGUCAAUAGCGACAUAUAUGCCUAAACUUUGUAUCUUUUCUGCAUCGAUUUGAUCUUGGCCCCAGAUAUUUGUAUUUUGCCUUUUCAAGUGAGUGACCUUUCUUCGACUUUAAAAGCCCCAUUGUCGUUCGCUCCCACAAAUUAUCCUGCAAAUACACCUUGAAAUUUAUGUUGAUUUCACAAAAAAAUUAUUGCAUGUGAAAGAGUGUUAUCGUAUGCCCAAAUAAAUCUCAAUUUAUGCAUGUAUUGAAGUGUACUGUGUUGAUAAACGUCCAUUUUCCUUUUGCAAACAUUAUUGUAUGUCAUUUCUCGCGCCAACUUACAAAAUCGAUUCACCUUGGAUAUUUUAGAUAUUUUUACGUUUAAACCUAUUGGCGCACUGUGGGACUUAUAGUACAUUGUAGUACAGUCUUUGAGGAUAAAAAAGUGCCUGUUUGAAGAAAUUUUAGGUGAAUGGUCCUCGCACAAUUUUUAAAAGUAAAUGUUUUAGUUUCUCAUUUUCCUCACUUUUUCCUAAAAUAGAUGGCUUUUGUUUUGAUUGUUUUAAAAUACUCUACCUAAUGGUUAAACAUUAAUAGGCUUCCUAACUAUGUAGCUUUGUAAUCAAGUGCCAUUAUAAUGCUGGCCAAAAUCUAGAAGAAAACUCUGAAAAAAAAAUUAUGAAAUUUUUUGAUCAUGAAAAUGUUGAUUUUCUGCCAAGUGGGCAAAAGAAUGACUGAAGGCUUUACAAAAUUGCAAAAAUAAUGCUUAAUAUUGAUUGGCACACCGCAAGGUGUAUCUACGCUUGAAGUUUAUGUAUUACACUUCAAAGUUAAUAUGGUUUGGGAAAAUUUCAGGUGCAUGGUCCUCGCAGAAUUUAGCCAUUUUCAUCGGCUUUUCUUUUCGAGUUUUAUUGCAUUUAAUUAAGGUGGCUCUAUGAUGUUUUGCAAGCUGUAAGGAAAUAUGUGCUGAAAAUGCAGUAUUCUUCAUGAUUAUAAAUCACUAUGGAUAUCAAAACUUUUCUAAAGUGUAUUUUAGCAUUUAGGGGCUGUUUACCUGAACCUGGCUAGCCGCUUGUAGCCGGGCUGGCCCGGUUAACUGAGGCGCCCGGCUUAUUACAAAUUCUUUAACAAAACAAUUUUAGUUUAUAUGUCUAGCCCGCCUAGCCGAGAUCUCACUCGAGUCAAACGGGGCGCCCGGCUAACCGGGCUGAAAUUUUCUCAUGUAAAGACACCAGCCCGGGUAGCCGUAGUAUUUUUUGGACAAAUAGUUAUUUCUUAAGUUGUUCUUAACAUGCAUUUGGCUUGUGUGACAAAUUUCCCCCCGCCAUAUUUGGCUUGAUAAAGUUUCAGCCCUGUUGAUUGGGCUAGCCAGGCUCACGUAAACAGCCCCUUAAUGGAUUUGUACACUAUAUGUCACAUGUGGUUGCUAUGGUAAUCUGAAUUCAUUUGCUAAUUAUUUUCUAACAAGAUGAUAUUUUGUAUUGAUUUCUUUCCCUGCUUUUGCUAACAUUAGAGCACUUUUCAUUAGCCCUUAGUGUUCCUAGCACAUACAUCAGUCCUUGUCGUAAGCAGACAAAUAAUUUUCCUAAAAAUUUCCUUUAUCAAUUUCUUCAGGAUCAUUGCAAUGGU